CUCAAAGAUUAAGCCAUGCAAGUCGGUAGCGNCCCGACGGUUUGAAUAAGUGUUCAUUGUCGAAAUAUCAACAAUAUAAGUAUUCUUUUGAAUACUUACGCAACUGCAGACAGCUGCUUAAUACAGUCACACUUGUCUUGACUUUGCCACUAUAGUGUUCUUAUGUGACACACAACCCCCUUUAUUCCAAAAAUCAUUUUGGAUAACUCAGGGAAAGUUUGGCUAAUACGUACGAGGGUUUCAAAAUACUAUUGAUCCCUUUAAAACAACGCACUUACUGGCGCAGACAUGAACUGUGUGUGCUUCCAUUCAUUUGGUUGUUUACUUACACGGCGAGUGGCUGCAGUGUUGCGCAAACAUGAAAGACAGUAAGUACGCGUAAAGUGACUUCGGUCGCUUAUAAGCUGAGCAGACUUGCGAGGAAUCAUACUUGCAAGCGGGUCAUACAAGCAUCUAUAGCAUCAAGUCAUAUGGUCGGCAAGUGUAUUAUUGAACCUUCAAAGCAGUCACGCUUACGGAAGAUGAGUUUCUGAUCCCAUAGAAGGAGCACGGUACAAUGAGAGACCGCUCUUAGUUCUAAGGAACGCAGCAGGCGCGUAAAUUGCCCAAUGCUAGUCCCCUUUUAUAUUACAACUUGAACGCUUUACCAAACAUUACGUUGGUAAAUCUUAUAUAACCUUGCGUUGUCUCGAUUUUAUCCAUUGAGGCAGUGACAAGCUGUAACAAUUAGACUUUUUAAAUUCAGUUGGCGAGGCAUUGCGGUGUCUUCGGAUACUUUGCAGAGCCCGCUGACGAUGGAGUCAAUUGUAAUGCGGUGAGUCUAACCAAUUCAGAAACACUGUUGUGUCUUCGGACAUUGCGGUUAUCUGAACCAAGUGGAGGGCAAGUCUGGUGCCAGCAGCCGCGGUAAUACCAGCUCCACUGGCCUAUACAACCAUUGUUGCGGUUAAGAGGCUCGUAGUUGGAUUGAACAUUGUUUCAAUACGUCAAAAACACAUUUACAUAUUUAUAUACUUUUUGACUGUAUUAUUACUAUGAUUUCAACACUGUGAACAAANCAGAGUGUACCAAACAUGUCGUUUUAGUGCAUUGAAUGAUUCAUCAUGGAAUGUUGCUACCAUAUAUAUAUACAUAUCAAAAUAGUUAUUUAUUUAUGUGUGUGUCGAUGGGGGUAGUUGGAGUCAAGAGUACUGCUGGGCGAGCGGUGAAAUGCGUUGACCCUAGCAAGACUACCAGGAGCGAAAGCGCUUGGCUAGGCUAUCCCUUUUGUGACCGACGACUUAACACCUGUUUUGUCGCACACAAUACAAUGAAGAACGAAGGUUGGGGGUUCAAAGAGGAUUAGAUACCCUCGCCGUCCCAUUUGUUACAUCAAACGAUGGGAUCUCAAUUGCGUUGUUAAACCAAUUGAACACACCCCUCUGACCUGCAAAACAUCAGUUGGCUUGUAGUUGUUUUCACGAACAACUCGCUAGCGAUUUUUACAGUUUGUCUCUGGGACAUUUGUGUCAGUUUGUGCGUUUUUUGAUUUUAUUAUCAAAAUCCUUAUGCACUUGAUUGUCGGAGCUUUGAGCUUUCACUAAUCAAGAGUUGUAAUUACCUCGUUGCACUGCUUCUGACUAGCGGCUUAUGGUUGUGAAAAGAGGCAGUCACAGUCUCCGGUACUACGGUACUCGGGGACUGCAGAGGUGUUUUUGCACGCUUUAGGCGCGCGCUUACUGCAGAAAUGUGUGAGACAUUCCCCUCCGGGGGUAGUAUGCACGCAAGUGUGAAACUUGAAGGAAUUGACGGAAGGGCACCACAAGAACGCGUGGAGCAUGUGGCUUAAUUUGACUCAACGCGGGAAAACUUACCGGGUCCGGACACACUGAGGAUUGACAGGCGACUACAAAUAUGCUAGUCCUUUCAUGAUUGUGUGAUAGGUGGUGCAUGGCCGUUCUUAGUUCGUGGRGUGAUCUGUCUGCUUAAUUGCGUUUCAGAUAUAUGGGUUGUUAUCACGUACGCUUUGUGUUUUUCAUUCAUUUGAGAAAGCAUUGCCGAGUGGACNCCCUUUGAAAGCAACGAACGUGACCGCAACCCUUUGUUAUCUCUCUUUUAUUAGUAGAGACCAACUAAGGGGACCGCCAGGGUUGUUAGACCGGAGGAAGGUUGCGGCAAUAACAGGUCUGUGAUGCCCUUAGAUGUUCCGGGCUGCACACGUGCUACAAUGAUUGUUGCAGAAAGCAUCUCAUAUUGAUUUGUCCUUCGGAAAAGUAGUAAUACUUGGAAGAGGACCACGUCAUUGAGUAUGUGUUAGUUUAUAUCUUUUCGAAGAUUUCACUUCGCGAUUCAACAACGUGCAACCUACCUCGAAAGUACGGUAGGCAAUCAAUUCCAAGUGACAAUCUCCCGCGCACAAAACCAAAUGAAUUGAAUUAACAGUUGCUUGCAUCUGUUUUCUUUUCAUGUGCUCCAUAAAUUCGUGGUCGGGACAGACCAUUGCUAAUUAUUGGUCUCGGUCUCAACUAGGAAUGCCUUGUACGGGUCUUUGGUUCAUCAAACCACCCGGAAUACGUCCCUGCCCUUUGUACACACCGCCCGUCGCUCUUACCGAUGGACUUCUCUGUGAGUUUGAGGGACUGGUCUUUGCUUUCAUUAGUACAGACUAUGGAAACUCAAACGAACAGUGUGGUCUAAAGGAAAGAGAAGUCGAACAAGGCA
rnacentral:rRNA from 1 species